AGAGUAGCUUAUUUAUAUCUGAAAAGAUUUUACUCAAAGCACAGAAUGGCUCUUCCCUAAAUACAUAAUUAUACAGCAGUCACACUGUAAAGCCAGCACGUCAUGCAUACAGAGCUAAUACUGUGAAGUGCUUUUAUUUACAUAGGGUUCGUGGCGGAUCAAUUUUUACCUAUGAUCUCUGAAAUAACUGUCAUUUGUUUCACAGGCACACGGAACUUCAGAAAGUUUAGGAAAGGAGUUUUUUCUUUUGGUUUUACAUGACAAGUGGUGAUGGUAUACUCUGUAAAAGGUAUCUUUCAGAAUAUCUGACCUGCACUCGACAGCUGGAUUGCGGAAGGUGUGCACCACGUUUCUAAGGAUACGUUUUUCACUUCCACGCAACUGAACAUCGCAUGCGGCCGCCUGGGCCCAAGGAGGCAGUGCGGUUCAUGCUGGAUACGUACCAUUGUCUAUGAAACCACAGCGGUUUACCAAAAACCAGGACAUUAUGAUUAACUGAAGGUCGAAAGGAAAAACAUCCUCGUUACUGAUCAUCUCUUUAAGUACCAGCCUACUGUGCAACCCUACCAUCAAGUACAUUUUGUGUUCGCACAGGAAGUAACUACAUUGUUUUUCGAUCUUUGAGGACCUUGCAGGGCCUGAAAGUCAUGCUGAACAUCAACGCUGAAUGUUAAGAGGUGGCUUAUACAGAGUGCAGGUGCCUCUGGUGGCUCCAGGACAUACCCUACAAACCGCAUACUGAAUAAUCCUUGUUACCACUGUG